ensembl:misc_RNA Metazoa_SRP Metazoan signal recognition particle RNA
GCCGGGUGUGGUGGCUCACACCUGUAAUCCCAGCACCUUGGGAGGCUGAGGUGGGCAGAUCACCUGAGGUCAGGAGUUCGAGACUUGCCUGACCAACAUGGUGAAACCAUCUCUA